CCACUUGGAGAUGAAGAGGUGAUUGCAUAUCUUUUGUCUGGUCUUGAUGAAUCCUUUGAUUCACUUGUUGACUCCAUCACCGCCCGAUCUGAGCCACCAUCGCUCAGCGAUGUCUACACACUCUUCAUUAGUCACGAGA